rnacentral:rRNA from 1 species
ACCUACGGGGGGCAGCAGUAGGGAAUUUUCGUCAAUGGGCGCAAGCCUGAACGAGCAAUGCCGCGUGAACGAGGAAGGUCUUCGGAUCGUAAAGUUCUGUUGAAGGGGAAAAGAGCGGAGAGAGGAAAUGGUCUCCGAUUGAUAUUACCCUUCGAGGAAGUCACGGCUAACUACGUGCCAGCAGCCGCGGUAAUACGUAGGUGGCGAGCGUUAUCCGGAAUGAUUGGGCGUAAAGGGUGCGUAGGCGGCCUGCUAAGUCUGGAGUGAAAGGUACCGGCUCAACCGGUACAGGCUCUGGAAACUGG